GACGAACGCUGGCGGCGUGCUUAACACAUGCAAGUCGAACGGAAAGGCCCUGCUUUUGUGGGGUGCUCGAGUGGCGAACGGGUGAGUAACACGUGAGUAACCUGCCCUUGACUUUGGGAUAACUUCAUGAAACUGGGGCUAAUACCGGAUAGGAGCUCCUGCUGCAUGGUGGGGGUUGGAAAGUUUCGGCGGUUGGGGAUGGACUCGCGGCUUAUCAGCUUGUUGGUGGGGUAGUGGCUUACCAAGGCUUUGACGGGUAGCCGGCCUGAGAGGGUGACCGGCCACAUUGGGACUGAGAUACGGCCCAGACUACUACGGGAGGCAGCAGUGGGGAAUAUUGCACAAUGGGCGGAAGCCUGAUGCAGCAACGCCGCGUGCGGGAUGACGGCCUUCGGGUUGUAAACCGCUUUCGCCUGUGACGAAGCGUGAGUGACGGUAAUGGGUAAAGAAGCACCGGCUAACUACGUG
rnacentral:rRNA from 1 species